CCCCUUUGUUCGCGCUGCGGCGGGAGGUGGCGGUCCGGGUGGGAGGUGUGUGCGCGCGCGUGUGCCGCGCUGUAGGGAGCUGCGGGUCUCACUGCCCGCUGUCAACGAGCUCAGCACCUCCGCGCGAUGGCUGGAGGAGACGUGUGGGACCAGCCCCGUGGGGCCGGCCGCGGGUGAGUCCCUCUGCCGCCUCCUGCGAGCAUGUCACCUCCAGCCUGCGAGGUCGCUUUCGCUAGCAGUGUCCGUGCCUCCGCCUUCUGCAGCCGCAGCCGCUGCCUGGAGCAGUGGCCCCCGGACCCCCGCCCCUGAUCCGCGCCCAGACCCUGGUGCCAGAGGACCAUGGCUGGCCAGGGCGACUGCUGCGUUAAAGUGGCCGUCAGGAUCCGGCCCCAGCUAUCGAAGGAGAAGAUUGAAGGCUGUCACAUCUGUACCUCUGUUACCCCUGGGGAGCCCCAGGUCCUGCUGGGGAAGGACAAGGCCUUCACCUACGACUUUGUCUUUGAUCUGGAUACCUGGCAGGAGCAAAUCUAUUCGACCUGUGUGAGCAAACUCAUCGAAGGCUGCUUUGAGGGCUACAAUGCCACAGUACUGGCCUAUGGACAGACGGGGGCUGGGAAGACAUACACGAUGGGCACCGGCUUCGACACAGUGACGUCAGAAGAGGAGCAGGGCAUCAUCCCAAGGGCCAUUGCACAUCUCUUCCGGGGCAUCGAUGAACGCAAGCGGCGGGCACAGGAGCAGGGUGUGACUGGGCCUGAAUUCAAAGUCAGUGCCCAGUUCCUGGAGCUCUACAACGAAGAGAUCCUUGACCUGUUUGAUAGCACCCGUGACCCCGAUGCCCGCCACCGCAGGUCCAACAUCAAGAUCCAUGAGGAUGCCAAUGGUGGCAUCUAUACCACAGGUGUCACUUCUCGCCUGAUCAACUCUCAGGAGGAGCUGAUCCAGUGCCUGAAGCAGGGUGCCCUGUCACGCACCACAGCCAGCACCCAGAUGAAUGUACAGAGCUCCCGAUCCCAUGCCAUCUUCACCAUCCAUCUGUGCCAGAUGCGCGUGUGUGCCCAGCCUGACCUGGUGAAUGAGACGGUGACUGGACUUCCGGAUGGAGCGGCCCCCACAGGCACUGAGUAUGAGACACUCACUGCUAAGUUUCACUUCGUGGACUUGGCUGGCUCAGAGCGGCUGAAGCGGACAGGGGCCACCGGUGAACGGGCCAAAGAGGGCAUCUCCAUCAACUGUGGUCUGCUGUCCUUGGGGAAUGUGAUCAGCGCCUUAGGGGACCAGAGCAAGAAGGUCGUGCAUGUGCCUUACAGGGACUCCAAGCUCACUCGGCUGCUCCAGGACUCCCUUGGAGGCAACAGCCAGACCAUCAUGAUCGCCUGUGUGAGCCCCUCGGAUCGGGACUUCAUGGAGACGCUUAACACACUCAAAUAUGCCAAUCGGGCUCGAAACAUCAAAAACAAGGUGGUAGUGAACCAGGACAAGACCAGCCAGCAGAUCAGUGCUCUCCGAGCCGAGAUCGCACGCCUGCAGAUGGAGUUGAUGGAAUACAAAGCGGGCAAGCGAGUGAUUGGGGAGGAUGGUGCGGAGGGCUACAGCGACCUGUUUCGGGAGAAUGCCAUGCUACAGAAGGAGAAUGGGGCACUGCGGCUCCGAGUGAAGGCCAUGCAGGAAGCCAUUGAUGCCAUCAACAACCGGGUCACACAACUCAUGAGUCAGGAGGCUAACCUGCUUCUGGCCAAGGCUGGUGAUGGCAAUGAGGCCAUCGGGGCUCUGAUCCAGAACUACAUCCGGGAGAUUGAAGAGCUGCGAACAAAGCUCCUGGAGAGUGAGGCUAUGAAUGAGUCCCUCCGCAGAAGCCUCUCCCGGGCUUCCGCUCGGAAUCCCUACUCCUUGGGAGCAUCUCCAGCAGGUCCAGCCUUUGCAAGCAGCCCGGCCAGCUCCAUGGAGGAUGCUUCUGAAGUGAUCCGCAGGGCCAAGCAAGACCUGGAGCGGCUGAAAAAGAAAGAGGUCAGGCAGCGGAGGAAGAGCAGCCCGGAGAAAGAAGCCUUCAAAAAGAGGGCAAAACUCCAGGCAGAAAACAGUGAGGAGACGGAUGAGAACGAGGCUGAGGAGGAAGAGGAAGAUCGAGAUGAAAGUGGCUGUGAGGAGGAGGAAGGGCGUGAGGAUGAGGAUGAAGACUCGGGCAGUGAAGAGAGCCUGGUAGACUCAGACUCCGACCCUGAAGAAAAGGAAGUAAACUUCCAGGCAGACCUGGCGGACCUGACGUGUGAGAUCGAGAUCAAGCAGAAGCUGAUCGACGAGCUGGAGAACAGCCAGCGGCGGCUGCAGACGCUCAAGCACCAGUACGAGGAGAAGCUCAUUCUGUUGCAGAACAAGAUCCGAGAUACACAGCUGGAGCGCGACCGCGUGCUGCAGAACCUCAGCACUAUGGAGUGCUACACAGAGGAGAAGGCCAACAAGAUAAAGGCGGAUUAUGAGAAGAGGCUGCGGGAGAUGAACCGGGACCUGCAGAAGCUACAGGCUGCUCAAAAAGAGCAUGCUAGGCUACUCAAGAACCAGUCUCGCUACGAAAGGGAGCUGAAGAAGCUGCAAGCGGAGGUAGCCGAGAUGAAGAAAGCCAAGGUCGCCCUCAUGAAGCAAAUGCGUGAGGAGCAGCAGCGGCGGCGACUGGUGGAGACCAAGAGGAACCGGGAGAUUGCUCAGCUCAAGAAGGAGCAACGGAGGCAGGAGUUUCAGAUACGGGCCCUGGAAUCUCAGAAGCGCCAGCAGGAAAUAGUUCUGAGGAGGAAAACCCAGGAGGUUUCUGCACUGAGGCGCUUGGCCAAACCCAUGUCUGAGCGAGUGGCCGGGCGUGUAGGAUUAAAGCCCCCCAAUAUGGAUUCUGGGGCCGAGGUGUCCGCCAGCACCACCUCAUCUGAGGCUGAGUCGGGAGCUCGCUCUGUCUCCAGUAUAGUGCGUCAGUGGAACCGAAAAAUCAACCACUUCCUAGGGGACCACCCUACAGCCACUGUCAACGGCAGCCGCCCAGCCAGGAAAAAGUUCCAAAAGAAGGGAGCCAGCCAAAGCUUCAGUAAGGCUGCAAGACUCAAAUGGCAGUCCCUGGAGCGGAGGAUCAUUGACAUUGUCAUGCAGAGAAUGACCAUUGUCAACCUGGAGGCUGAUAUGGAGCGGCUCAUAAAGAAAAGGGAGGAGCUCUUCCUCCUACAGGAGGCACUGCGGAGGAAGCGGGAGCGCCUGCAGGCUGAGAGCCCCGAGGAGGAGAAGGGGCUACAGGAGCUGGCAGAGGAGAUAGAGGUGUUGGCAGCCAAUAUUGACUACAUCAAUGACAGCAUCACUGACUGCCAAGCCACCAUUGUGCAGCUGGAAGAAACCAAGGAGGAGCUGGACUCCACAGACACAUCAGUGGUCAUUAGCUCCUGCUCUCUGGCUGAAGCCCGCCUACUGCUAGACAACUUCCUCAAGGCGUCCAUUGACAAGGGACUUCAAGUAGCCCAGAAGGAGGCCCAGAUCCGGCUGCUAGAAGGACGCCUCAGACAGACAGACAUGACAGGCUCUUCCCAGAACCACCUGCUCCUAGAUGCUUUGCGUGAGAAGGCCGAGGCGCACCCUGAGCUGCAGGCCCUCAUCUACAAUGUCCAACACGAGAAUGGCUAUGCAAGCACAGAUGAGGAAGUUUCAGAGUUCUCUGAGGGGAGUUUUUCCCAGUCAUUCACCAUGAAAGGCUCCACCAGCCAUGACGACUUCAAGUUCAAGGGUGAACCCAAGCUGUCUGCACAGAUGAAGGCCGUGUCUGCAGAGUGCCUAGGACCCCCGUUGGACAGCUCCACCAAAAACAUUACCAAGUCCCUGGCUUCCCUCGUUGAGAUCAAAGAGGACGGGGUGGGCUUCUCUAUCCGGGACCCCUACUACCGGGACAAGGUCUCACGCACUGUCAGCCUGCCCACCCGGGGCAGCACUUUCCCUCGGCAGUCUCGAGGUGCCACGGACACGUCCCCUCUGACCCGAAGGAAGUCUUAUGACCGAGGACAGCCCAUCAGAUCCACAGACAUGGGAUUCACACCUCCCUCAUCGCCUCCCACUCGGCCCCGCAACGACCGCAACGUCUUCUCUCGUCUUACCAGCAAUCAGAGCCAGGGCUCAGCACUGGACAAGUCUGAUGACAGCGACUCCUCUUUGUCGGAGGUCCUGAGGGGCAUCAUCACCCCCAUUGGCGGAGCAAAGGGAGCUCGGACGGCCCCGCUGCAGUGCGUCUCCAUGGCCGAGGGCCAUACCAAGCCCAUCCUCUGCCUGGAUGCCACCGAUGAGUUGCUUUUCACUGGAUCCAAAGACCGGAGCUGCAAGAUGUGGAACCUGGUGACGGGGCAGGAGAUCGCAGCUCUCAAGGGCCACCCCAACAAUGUGGUUUCUAUCAAAUACUGCAGCCACUCGGGGCUGGUGUUCUCUGUGUCCAGCUCCUACAUCAAGGUGUGGGACAUCCGGGACUCAGCCAAGUGCAUUCGGACGCUCACGUCCUCAGGCCAGGUGAUCUCAGGAGAUGCCUGCAUAGCCACAUCCACCCGUGCCAUCACCAGCGCCCAGGGGGAGCAUCAGAUCAACCAGAUGGCCCUCAGCCCCUCAGGCACCAUGCUAUACGUUGCCUCUGGCAAUGCCGUCCGCAUCUGGGAGCUCAACAGGUUCCAGCCCAUUGGCAAACUGACUGGCCACAUUGGCCCAGUGAUGUGCUUGACAGUCACCCAGACUUCAAACCACCAUGACCUCGUGGUGACGGGCUCCAAGGACCACUACGUGAAGAUGUUCCAGCUGGGUGACUAUGUGACCGGUACUAUUGGCCCAACCCACAACUUUGAGCCGCCUCACUAUGAUGGUAUCGAAUGCCUGGCUAUCCAAGGAGACAUACUGUUCAGUGGCUCCAGAGACAAUGGCAUCAAGAAGUGGGACCUGGAACAGCAGGAGCUCAUUCAGCAAAUCCCCAAUGCUCACAAGGACUGGGUGUGUGCCCUGGCCUUUGUACCCGGCCGGCCCAUGCUGCUGAGCGCCUGCCGGGCGGGCUUCAUCAAGGUCUGGAAUGUGGACAACUUCACACCCAUUGGUGAGAUCAAGGGCCAUGACAGCCCCAUCAAUGCCAUCUGCACCAACAGCAAGCACAUCUUCACGGCCUCCAGUGACUGCCGGGUAAAGCUGUGGAAUUACGUCCCUGGACUCACCCCCUGCCUUCCUCGACGAGUCCUGGCCAUAAAGGGCCGCGCCACCACCCUGCCCUGACCCUCCCCCUUCCUCUCUCACUCUUCCCCUCUUGCCUUCUCCUGUCUUUCCCCCACCUCGAUCUGAGCUGCUUCUUCACGUGACCUGACGGUGAAGUUCUGGAGCAUGCGCCGGCUACCAGCAGCCCAUCCUUGAAGUUAGGACGAAAGGUGGCCAGACCAUCAGACCCAGCAUGGAAAGGAAGCUGUGGCCGGAUCUUACCAGACCAGCCAGGUUCACUGAGGACAGAGGGUGUGGCUCUUCUCUCGCUCUACUUCCUCCACCACCCCCUCUGUCCCUCCCCUGCCUCCUAAGAAAGAAGAGGCCGAGGAGGGAAGACAAGCUGUGAAGCCAAAGGGCAUGAUUUCCCUACCUGUUCCCUGCCUGCCUCUCAACUGGCCACACUGUCUCCUGCUGAGCCAGCCCUGCCCCUCUCUCGGGUCCUCAGCCUCCGGUGAGACUGAGGGAGAAGCCCGGAGAAGCUCCCAUCUAUCUUCCAGCGAGCUAGCUUCCCUAGCCCCACCUCCGGGAGCCGCUGCACCUGCCGCUGAGCCCACCAAGGUAGUUCUCAGGUAACCAUGGAAACCAGAUGUAAGCAGCCGAAUCCUGCCGCUGACCCUAAACCCUACAGCCGCCCCCAGCCGAUCUCAGUGGGGCCUAGUCAUUCCUCGAGGGAGGCUCUCUUCUGCUGGGGCCUCAGUGGAGCUGUGUAAACACUUCCUUUGGGGAGAAGGUCAGCAGUACCACAGUCAUUAAGGAUAUUGAUUUUUAGUUUUGUGUUCUGCUGUUUGCCUCCUGGAAACUGACUUGAAGUUUCUUCCCAUUCUUCCCUCCGCUCCCGGUGGGGGGGUCUUCUCUCUGGCGCUCCACUCCUCCAUCCUUUGCAGCUCUGACCAUUGUCCCAGUCCUGCCCAUCCCGGCAUACCUUCUAGGAUAGACCAGGUCUCUAGGCCACCGGAUGCCGCAGUGCCUUUCUCCAUCCUGAGGCCCGGCAUCAUGCUGGGCAGCCUUACGCUAGCCAUGCCCGCAGCCCACAUGUGUCUUCUGCUCCUGGGCCUUGUGCCCACAGCCCCUGAAGGUCAGAGCGUCCACCUCAACAGCCCAGGACCAGGGAACCCAUGCUCCCAAGAGUCCUGUGUGGUCCAGUGGGACUGUCCACUAGGUAGGCUUGGGUAGUCAGGGUACUAGGUCCUUUGCCUAACCGCACCCCCCCCCCUCCAGCCAAUUAUAUUUUCACCUCCAAGGGGACAGGGGGCAUCUUCAGCUUCUUUUCCUUUAGUUGUUCCAGAAACAGCCUUAAAACCUGCCUGGGCCAAAGGUCCUCCCUUUUCAAUUAGCGUGAGGAGGCAGCCACUCCUUGCUUCUCCCCUUGGUGCAGUGGACUCAGCUGCUGAGAUGAGGUGAAGUCAGUGUCUAGCGCCCCCUACUGGAACAACUCUGAAUUUAUAGGACUGGGCCAUGAGAGGGGCCAGCUCCAUUCCUUACCCCCAGCCCCCCAGCUUCCCCUGCCCUAAAACUGGUCCACACUUAUUCUAUUGCUUCACUGGUCUUGUGCAUCCUGGUCUCAUUCUGGGAUCCAUGAACCCCAGCUCCCUUCGGAGGACAUGGUGACUUGUGGACUUUGGAGAGCUAGCGCAGAGCCUCUGCGCUUAGCUCUUCUCCCCCUAGGGCGGGUACGUUGGUGGCUGUCCAUGAGGCCCUAGGAUGGGAGAGUUAGGAACUGAGAAGGCCAGACCCUCUCUGAACCAUCCCAGAGCUGUGUCUGAGGCUGAUACCAAGGAGACUGUCCCGCUUAUUGAUGGCUCCAGACAGACAGCAGUGUUAAGUCUGGGUAAGUGGAUGUUUAGAACAAUGCACCAGGAAAGCAGGUCAUCAGGAACCUGGACCGUCUGUCUGCAAUGACCAGAAAUCCUCCUUCCUCUGCUCACCCUGGGAGUGUUAAGGAAUGUCCUUAGCACUCAGAAGUGACCACAUCUUCUCUUUCAUCCCUCUUCACCUGAAUGGAAAGCCCGGACCUUAUACCUUGUAAGAAAACCCAGAACCCAUCUGCAUGACUGUUUACAAACUACAGAAACACGUGAGACUUAUGUCCCGACCCCACAGGCUGGGCUGUCCCAGCCCGGGGUACCCGUACUGUAUAGCUGCAAGGCCAGUUCUUGCACAAAGUGUGUGUGGUCUUACAGCCCCCGCGAGAGGUGCUCACCGGCAUUGCCCCUUCUGCCAUUUCUGAUGGGUCACUACCUCAUGGCGGGGCUGCUAUGCUGUCCCAGCGAGUGUCAUUGACUAAACUUGAAAUUGGAGCUCUGAGCUCAUCACCCCGAGCCAUUCUGAGCUGUGUCCUGGGAAUGUUGGCAUCCCUUGCCCACCAACCCUUUCGGGGAUGUCCAAGGUACACAGUGAGGGGCGGGCCCCCAGCGCCACUCAUUGCACAAACAUCCUUGUCGGAAGCACAAACUGGUUGUGAUUUGAGCACAAUAGCAGGUCUCUGGGUAGACAGUAUGAGCAAACUUGGGCGCCUAGGAGGUCUCUUUCCCAGAUGGGCUGCGUCUUAGAUUAGACCAGGCUUGCCUGUGUCUGAGGCUGACUCACCACCACAUACUCUGGGAAUUAUUAAUCUACUCCUUGUGCCCAUCUUGGGACUUGAGGCCCAAGCCACAGCUGUGGGGGUCCUCCCUAGAUCCCCACAUCCCAAGCCUUUAACAACUAGAGUAUAGCUGGUACCCCACCAUACUGAGCCUGAAGAACCUGGACCCAGACUCCCAUCUCUUGAGCUAACCCCAACAUCCAUGCUUCUGAAAGUGAUCAGCUUCCAUCUGGAUGGAAAGUGUCUACUGUCCCCACUCUCUUAGGCCUUUUCUGUGCACAAUCCUGGGCCGGGACCCAUUCCAGUAUUAACCAAUUCAGUGUUUGGUCUUGUUGGAGAGACUUGAUUCUACAGCAGCCAGCUCAUGCAGAGGCUGCCUGGAGCAGCCUUUAGAGACUGCAGAAGAGAGAGAGUGAGAGAACGCAAAGAAUGAGAGGCUGACCCAGCGAAGCCCUUGAUGUGGUCAGAGUGCCACCACAGCUACUUGAAAAGGGGCAGCUAUGGAUCUGGGAGUAGGCUCCCACCGUGGCCCCAGCUGCAAGUUUGGGAUCGUCUUAGGCUGCGUGGCUUGGGCAAAGGGCAGUUUAAAGCACAAAGCCAUGUGGAGAAGAUGCUGCCUUGCUGGGGAAUUCUUGACCUACCCAUUGUGGUGGUGCAGGCAGGAAGCUGCUGCAAAGGCAACACAUUACAUCUCUGCCCUGCCCUCUCCCUGUUCUGGGAGGCCUCCCCUGGAGUCUGGGCUGGGUGAAGCAGGCACACCCCCUUGGCUGUACCUGGUAUGUUUGUGUGGGCAGGACCUGCCCUGCAGGAGCGGUGAAUUCCUUUCCACCAUGUGGCCCAAACCUGCCACAUCUGUCUCUUUGUCCUUACUAACAAGAAACUGCUGCUCCCUUUGCUGGCACAGUGGCCAGUGCCCCCCCUGAGACCAGCUGUCACCUGACUCCCAGCUCUUCACUGCUACUUGUGUGCAAGAGAAUCUGCAGGGAAAGUUUGGUUUCUUUGACAUCAUUGUUCUGUCCCGUGCCCACCCCACCCCCCAUCUCCAGCACCCAGCUGGCCUCCCCUUGACCCCUCUCGUCCACCUUCAAUCCUGUGUCCUAAAGGCUUUGUCAGAAAGUGGGAAGGACUGCUGAAAGUCAGAAAAGACCACUGAUGUCUUGCUGCCCUGCCCUGCCCCGCCCUGUCACCAGCUCCUAUGACUGUUACCCCUACCCAGGCUGCAGGGUCUCAUUUGGCUCAUGCGCUCUCCUGUGACAUAGUAGCACAAGGUGUGUAUAUGUUUUGUACCUCUGCUGACGACUGUACAUAGUGUAUGAAAGUUAUUUAAGCCUCAUGCUGUACAUUUCUGUUCUGGAAAUCGGAUGUGUGUGUUCUAAGAGCUUGUCAUAAAUAAAAAAAAAACAUUGUCCAUAGAA